rnacentral:lncRNA from 1 species
CUGGAUCUCACUGGAUCCUUCACUGCUAAAGGACCCCCAUCGCGGUUCCUAAGAUCCUUAGGACCCACCUGGAGGACUGUGGGUAUGGGGUGUCCAAGAAGAAAGCUCAGAUCUGCCCACGGCAGGUACCUUACUUGGGAUUUACAAUCGACAGGGGUCCGAACGCAGCCCGGGAAAAGAAAGAAAGCAGGACCCCCAUCGCAGGAGUCGGAGGCACCCCCCGCGAGGCGGGGACUGAGAGAGAGCUCCUCUUCCCCCCCAGGAUCUUAGGACCCCCAUCGCGGGGGGGGAGGCACUCCCGCCAGGAUCCCCAUCGCAAGGGGGGAAGACACCGCCCACGAGUCGGGGACUGAGAGCCAGCCCCUCUUCCCCCGCUGGCUUAGGACCCCCACCGCGGAUUCUAAGAUCCUUAGCACCCACCUGGAGGACUGGGGGUUUUAGGUGUCCAAGAAGAAAGCUCAGACCUGCCGACCGCAGGUACCUUACCUGGGAUUUACUAUCCGACAGGGGUCCGAACGCAGCUCGGGAUCAGAAAAAAAGCAGGUCAUUUGCAAUCUACCAGAGCCAGCCCCUCUUCCCCCCCUUGCUCUUAGGACCUCCAUCGCAGCGGGGCAGGCACACACCGCGAGGCGGGAACUGAGAGCCAGCCCCUCCCACCUCUGGCUCUUAGGACUCACAUUGCAAGUGGGGGAGGCAUCCUCCGCGAGGCGCGGACUGAGAGCCAGCCCCUCUUCCCCCCCUGGCUCUAGGGACCCCCAUCGCAGGGGGUGGAGGCACCCCACGCGAUUCGGGGACUGAGAGCCAGCCCCUCUCCUUCCCCCUGCUCUUCGGACCCCCAUCGCAGGGCGGGGAGGCACCCACCGCGAGGCGGGGACUGAGAGCCAGCCCCUCUACCCCCCGUGGCUCUUAGGAGCCCCAUCGCAGGGUGGGAGGCCACCCGGCGAGGCGAGGAUUGAGAGCCAGCCCGUCUUCCCCCCUUGGCUCUUAGGAGCCCCAUCGCGGGUGGGGAAGGCACCCCCCGCGAGGCAGGGACUGAGAGCCAGCCUCUCUUCCUCCCGUGGCUCUUAGGACCCCCAUCGCAGUGGGGGGAGGCACCCCCCGCGAGGCGGGGACUGAGAGCAAGCCCAUUUCCCCCCCCCCCGGCUCUUAGGACACCCAACGCAGAGGGGGGAGGCACCCCCUGCGAGGCAGGAACUGAGAGCCAGACCCACUUCUCCCCGGCUCUUGGGAUCCCCAUCGCGGGGAGGGGAGGCACCCCACACGAGGCGGGGACUGAGAGCCAGCCCCUCUUCCCCCCCUGGCUAUUAGGACCCCCAUCGCAGGGGGGAGAGGCACCCCCCGAGAGGCAGGGACGGAGAGCCUGCACCUCUUCCCCCACGGGCUCUUAGGACCCCCAUCGCAGGCGCUUCGCACCCCACGCGAGGCGGGUACUGAGAGCCAGCUCCUCUUUCCCCCGUCUCUUAGGACUGCCAUCGCAGAGGGGGAGGUAACCCCCGCCAGGCAGGGACUGACAGCCAGCCCCUCUUCACCUCUGGCUCUUAGGCCCCCAUCGCAGAGUGGGGAGGCACCACAUGCGAGGCGGGGACUGCGAGCCAGCCCCACUUCCCCCCUGGCUCUUGGGACCACCAUCGCAGUGGGGGGAGGUACACCCCGCGAGGCGGGGACGGAGAGUCAGCCCCUCUUCCCCCACUGGCUCUUGGGAACCCCAUCGCAAGGGGGAGAGGCACCCUCCGCGACGCGGGGACUGAGAGACAGCCCCUCUUCCCCCCCUGGCUCUAGGGACCCCCAUCGCAGGGGGUGGAGGCACCCCACGCGAUGCGGGGACUGAGAGCCAGCCCCUCUCCGCCCCCCCCGACCCCGCCCGGGUCUUCGGACCCCCAUCGCAGUGGGGGGAGGCACCCCAUGCGAGGCGGGGUCUGACAGCCAAACCCUCUUCCCCCUCUGGCUCUUAUGACCCCCAUAGCAAGGGGGGAGGCACCCCCCGCGAGGCGGGGACUAGAGCCAGCCCCUCUUCCCACCCUGGCUUAGGACCCCCAUCGCGGAUCCUAAGAUCCUUAGGACCCAACUGGAGGACUGUGGGUAUUAGGUGUCCAAGAAGAAAGCUCAGAUCUGCCGACCGCAGGUACCUUACUUGGGAUUUACUAUACCACAGGGGUCCGAACGCAGCCCGGGAUCAGGAAGAAAGCAGGUCGUUUGCAAUCUACCGGAGCCUAAGGGCAGAAGGCAGGAUCGUGGGAACAAUAUCCCAGGGGGGUUUCCACUUUCUGCCAUAUAUGUAGUCACAUCGCCCACUCCGCCUUGGAAUAUUAUUAAGGACCAUCUAACACGAGGGUGUAUACGUCCUGCGAUAUUACGAGUAAUAUCAACUUCUUGGCCUCUGAAUAUGAGGAAGAAUAUCACAGGGGGUCCGAAUGCAGCCCGGGAUCACAAAGAAAGCAGGUCGUUUGCAAUCUACCAGAGCCUAAGGGCAGAAGGCAGGAUCGUGGGAACAAUAUCCCAUGGGGGUGUACCCUUUCUGCCAUAUAUGUAGUCACAUCACCCACUCCGCCUUGGAAUAUUAUUAAGGACCAUCUAACACGAGGGUGUAUACGUCCUGUGAUAUUGGGAGUAAUAUCAACUUCUCGGCCUCUGAAUAUGAGGAAGAAUAUCACAGGGAUAUUAAUAACAAUUUCACAGGCUGGGUGAACACAGCCGGCGAUGCUGAAAUUAUUAUCAUCCUCUCCCCCUCUUCCCCUCCUGGCUCUCAGUCCCCGCCUCACGGGUUAUGUAGCGGGUUAUGGCAAGAAGACAAACUGCAGUUUCCUGCACAGAACAGCACAAACAAUGAUCCAAGCUCAGUUACAACACAAUAUUGGUCAUCAUUUGACCAUGGACUUCAAUAUCAACCCUUAGAAACCUUCCUAAAACAGGUCAGCAAAACACCAAGAAGCAAUAUCCUGAAUGAUAGGAAAAUAUCCUUGCUUGUGCAAAUUGUUUCCACUUAAUUUUUUUCAACAAAUGUUAAUUAUAUUUUUACUUUCUAAAAAUUUUUAAUAAAAUAUAGCCUACUUGGUUAAAAAUGGUGUCAAAGCUUUUCUAAAAGUUAAGGC